rnacentral:rRNA from 1 species
GCUUUAGGGCUAGCGUCGAGUAUGAGUAGUGGAGGUAGAGCACUGAAUGGGCUAGGGGGCAUAGCGCUUACCGAACCUUAUCAAACUCCGAAUGCCACAUACUUUGAGCUCGGCAGUCAGACUACGAAUGAUAAGAUCCGUGGUCAAAAGGGAAACAGCCCAGAUCGUCAGCUAAGGUCCCAAAGUGUAAGUUAAGUGGGAAAGGAUGUGAGAUUUCUAAGACAACUAGGAUGUUGGCUUAGAAGCAGCCAUUCAUUAAAAGAGUGCGUAAUAGCUCACUAGUCGAGAGAUCUUGCGCCGAAAAUGUAACGGGGCUAAACUUACCACCGAAGCUACGGGCUUGAACUUAGUUCAAGCGGUAGGAGAGCGUCGUAACCGGGCUGAAGUCGUACCGUAAGGAGCGGUGGACUGGUUACGAGUGAGAAUGUUGGCAUCAGUAGCGAGAUGUGGGUGAGAAUCCCACAGGCCGAAAACCUAAGGUUUCCUCAGGAAGGUUCGUCCGCUGAGGG